AACAAAAUGGACGGAUUUGUCUCUUUCAUCUUGCAACAAAACGUCUGUUACCACCUGAUUAGAUAACCCAGACCCUCAUGCACAAAUGCUUCCAUGCACUGAACCCAAAUGGAUCCAGCAGCACAUCUUUCAGACUUCUCCAGUUUACUUUAGAAUUUUAGUUGCAAAUUAACACAUUGCAUUUUAACCAGAAGUAUUUUAGCACAAAUUUUUAAUUGGUGUUCAAGAUCUGUUAACAAUCAUUUAUUUUAAGUAUUGUACUUGGUUACAUCUGAAAUCAUAUAUGUCACUGAGAAAAAAAAGUAACUAAAACGAGUGAAUUAGUUCCGGGUGACUGUUCAUUCACCUCCACAAGCAGCAAAAGAAGAAAUUGUCCGUAAGCCCCGCCUACUUAUUGCGCAGCGCCGUCUGCCGGAUCUGAAAUCUUCACGGUCACACGCUAACCCUAACCCUAGCCUGAAUUUUAACAUGAAAAUAAAUAAAUGAAGUUAUCUUCUGACCAUAAGAGACCACCGCGGCUCCACAUUAAAACCAGGCUGAGAUGAUAAAUCGGAGUGAUGCAGAGCUCCAGGAGCUUCUCUCCGUUAAAGCUGAAGCUCUCGUCACCAGAGACUGCAGAGGGACCUCAUCCUGUUGCUGAACAUAGACCUGACCAACUCCAGGAACGCCAGAUCAUAAACCCAGAGCUACAAACUGUGCAACACAUUGAGAAGAAAAAUGGGUGUUAACUACGUUGUCAGGUAUUUUCAUGCUUUAGUUGUCAAACACAAAGAGAGUCCUCCCUGACUUUUCUUGAACAGUGUCUUCAUACACUAAUUAUGAUUUAUAUCCUCUGUAAUUUAGCAGUAGAAAGGUAGAGGGUGAAUCAUUGUAAAAACACACUGUGGCUAGUCAAAGUCAAAAACCGUAACCUUUCCUGAAGUGGAAGUGCUAACCACCAGCCUAAUGGCACACUUAACCAACACAGAGAAGACAAAGGGAAAACAAACACCAAAAAACCUGGGACAUGUCUGCCCACCCACUCACAUGCUGACCCAGAAAGACCCCCCAUCCCCAACCCGUCACCCAUGCACUAACGCUUUGAGACACAUGGUGAACCAGUGAUGUUUUGACAACAAUCUCAGUGUGAUUUUCAGUCCAUGGGUCAGACUUUAUGGAGCUCUAUUUCUUUCUUUUAGCUCACAUACCUUUUGCACACAUUUUUUCUCAGGUGCCUCAAGAUCUUCUGGAAUGUUUUCAGAUAUCAACUGUUCCAACUCAUCACAAGAUUUUAGGCUUUCAGUUGUGCCUAAACUGUUUCCUGCAGUUUUUCAUUAAAUAGUAGAUUAUGAUAGUAUGUUAUGGCUUUUAAAGGAGCCAAAGCCACUGAAUGUUAAUAAUGAUUUAAGAGGUAAGAACAUUUAAAAAGUAGUAAGGUCCGCUCCCUGUAUGCAACACUCACACCUUUACUAUUUAUUAUUUACUAUUCCUCACGUGGGGAGCUGGUGCAUAACAUGCAGUCGUCAAGAGUAAUAUUUUUGCAAGUUCUGCUUAUUCCUAUUACCCAAGAUAUAUUAGUCUCAAAUAAUUUCCCAUGACAUGCAAGUAUUUAGUCAAACCAAGCUCCAAGUCAAGGCCCCAAGACCCAUCUUUUCAGAGAUUAUCUCCAGCCCUAGCAGCUACCCAGCACUUCCCUUCACCUACUCUAUUGUGCUCUCUUUUGUGCACUCACUUCUAUGCUUGCACUCAAGUUCUACAUGGUUACCUAUGAAUGACAUACGCUGCUCAGCGCUGAUUGGUUCGGUUAGAAUUCUCAGGGGGUGGGGUUAUUAGAAUGGGAGUGUUACCAAGCCCUUUGCUUCCCAUUAGGACGCAUUGGCGUGGCUGGCCAGGCUACCUCUGACUUGCAUGCUCAAGGUCAGGGCUAUUCAGUUCCAGGCCUCGAGGGCCAGCAUCCAACACAUUUUAGUUUUAACCCUGCUUCAACACACCUGAUUUCAAUCAGCAGGUGAUUAACAGGCUUCUGCUGAGCCCGAUGAGUCGCUGUACAGAUGGCUCAACCACUAAAUCUAGUGUGUUGGAGCAGAGAAACCACUAAAACGUGCUAGAGACCGACCCUUGAGGCCCGAACUUGAAUAGUCCUGCUCUAGGUUAUUUAUUGCUAACCUCAAUAGUAAAGGCAUUGUUACACCCUUAAUUCUAAUUUGUCUGAAACAAAAGUGUCUGCCAAAUACAUGAACAGCAUAAACAUCUCAAUUUUCAAGACAGGUCUCAAUGCUUUGAGCGUUACAUUUUGAGCUCCAAACAAGUAAUUUAACCACAUUUAUCAUCUACUUAAAAAGUAAUGAGAGCAAUUUUCAGAACCAAAAUACUUCUUUUGUUUAAAUACACUAAAGUGCAUUCAAUUGAAAAAAACCACAAACACAACCAAACUUCGAAAAACCUAAGAAGCAGGUGCUGCAUGCCUCAUCUUCACAGUGUAAGAUACCGAGACUUUUCAAGUCACCAGGCUCACGUCAAAAUGAAGUAAUUUGUGUUAAAUUUCAAGUCAAGUCCCAAGUCUUUUUUUUCAUCAGGUUAGGACUUAAAUGAUCAAAAGUCCAAAUGGAGUACAUGUCUCAUGACUCAAGUCCACACCUUUGUGGUGUACUUUAGAAUGUAGUCAGUCCCUAACGCCACGAAAAUGGAGGCCGGGUGGCCCCACUUUACUCCGUCCACUGAUGCUACUCAUGCUGACUACAAUAGGAGUCCUUGUGGCCGCUGUUUUAUGUAAACAUUUCCAUAAAACAGACAUCAUUAUUGAGAACUUAAUAUUCUAAGCACAUGUUCCACAUUUUCAUCCUAUUCACCACUGUCAUGAAACAUGUUCCACAUGUGAAAAUCAACUUGUGACUGCAGAAAACUGUUUGCACAGAAAACAUUGGAGCUCUAUUAUGAUGCAUUGAUCCAUGAAAAGUCAAGUCUAAUGAAACUAGCGUGCAGGUAAUGUGGUCUGUUUAUAACACCAGUGAUGCAGCUCAACGUGUGUGGCAUCUUAACCAAACUGUACCCUAAGUUGACUCCCUGCUCAGCUAAUAGCUUAAUGCAUUUCAGGUGUGCUGCUAAUCACACUUUAUGAGCUCUCAGAGUUUACAGAGUUGGAUGCUUAUUCUGCAAAACGGUUGAUCUAAUAGAUGGCAACAAGAUGAGGGGAGAAAAUGGACUGGUUUUUUUUUUAAUGGAGUCCCUGGGAGAUGAUUUAGAACAUCUUAAGUUUUUAUAUGGAAUAACAUUAGAAAAUGUUGGUUUUUGGGUUUCAUUGUUUGCUCUUUGGGGAAAAGCACAAGACAGUUCUCAUUAGAAACUUUUCAUUUCAGCUUAUUAAUCUAACACAUGUAUAUGUUUUGAAGUAUUGAUUUGUACCUUUAAAACUUUAAAGAAAAGAGAUGGGUUCAUUUGCAACAACAUAGAAGCCACUUUUGAUCAAAGCGGAAUUUGCGAACAGCUGUUCCUCUCAUUGCCUCUGACUGAUGAGUAAAAUUGAGCUCUCUCUCUCUCUCUCUCUCUCUGUUUCUUAGCUCUUCCUCCUCCACAUCAUCAUGAAUCAAAACUCUCUGACCCAAUGUUCAGUCAAGACAAAAAAGAUGUGUGUAUGUUGUCUGUAUCCUAUAUAAUCAUCAUCAUCCUCCCUCGAAACUAGUACUCCUGGGUUAGAUCGAGGCAAUUACGGCCAAGUUGAUUGUCAUGGAGGAGCUAUAACUUCAUUUCCCGUCACAGUUUUAAGGGUUGAAUUACACCACACAGGAGACCCUCAUUCUCAACCUCUCACAGCCAUUUUGCAUGUGUGUUACUUGAGAAGACGCUUAAUAUUGUUUCUGCAUGGACCGUUUUUUCCCCCGAUCUUCCCUGGAUGUCAGCUACAAACUUACAGAAAACAAAGAGCUUUGCCAGAACGGAAAAUCCGUAUGAGUUAGAAGAUCUAGUGGAUAAACUGCCGAGGCUGCUGACUCAGCUCCACCGUACUGUCAGCCUUUAUUUAACGUGACUGGCCACUUGGUAAGGUGACAAGCAAUUAGAGCGGUAGUCAGCUGAGUAGCGUUGAGUAACAGGUGGGUCUUUUUUCAGUUUCUCGGAUUUGGAGUUGGGGUUUUCCAGAGGUGCCACCUUUUCUGACAUCAUUUACGGGACUUACUAUACAUUAGGACUGUCUUAAGGUUUAUUAGCAAAAAAGCUGGAGGACCAUCAACACUUGGCUCUUAAUAGCAGUUCAUGUUUUUGAACUAGGUUUCUGUAGAAAGGCAGUAACAAUAUUUAACUCAUUGGAUCGAAUUGACAAGUUGAUGGCUAGUUGAAGCAGAGUCAAGGUCAUAGUAUAUUUUCAAAACCAAUUUAAAGGUGCCCCAUGCAAUUUGCUUUUCAUUUAAACUUUACACAAUUAUCAAUUUAAUGUAAGACUGUUAGUUUGGCAGGAAUAUCAUACUGAUUCUCCUGGCCACAUGAAAGAACUAAUUAGCUGCUACUACAACAAGCUGCCUCUAGAGUCAAUUUUAAACUUCUACGUCAAGUUGGCGAUGGACAGAAGCAACACCAUGAUGUGCUGAUGCAAGGAGUAGUGAUGGAGACAUGCCUAAUUUUUUAACUAUCCGUCAAUAGCGGCCAAUCAUGAUCAGGAUGCCACUUCAUUUAAAUUUAUCAACAGCACCAUUGUUCAAAUACAUUAAACGAGUCCCAAGGCAUUUAGCAUCAGAUAUGGAUUGUCUCUUGGAAGAAGUCCAAUUAUAUGAACAUUGAUACAACUGUGACUGGAGGAGUACAAAGAUGCAGUAUUUUCUAAUAAAAAACAUUAACAUUGCCUUAUGGGGCAUCAUUCUCUUCAGGACAACCUGGACUAUCUGAAUUUGUACAUAAUGUGAUUGCACUUUGAACUUUAAGUCACAGUUUCAUAAAAUUAUUAGCAGGAAAGUAAAAAAAUCUUUACAUUUGUUUUUGUACAACUAUUUACACACGUCAAAAACAGAAAAAGAAAAAAAUAUAUAAUUGUGCCAAAAUAAGUGACAAUGCUGCAAAUUCUUUUGCAAUAUUUCAACACAUGCUUACACUUAUUUACAAAAGGAUAAGGGUUUGUUUGUGCCAUUGCAGAAGGUCACAUCUUAGGCCUGGCACUUCCAUAGGAUGUUGUGUACCUUUCUUGUCUAGGAGGCAGUGUUUACAUUUUAGUCUGCCUUCGGUGGUUUUUAGGGCAAGGUCUAUGUGCAAAUGGCCACAGGAACAUGAUCAGCUCUCAUUGGGGAGUACCUGCCUUAGUCAUGUGAAAAAGCUGACACAUAGCUCCACCAUGAAGUCUUUGCGUGUCUUGGCCUGCUCCUUCUUAACACUGCUCAGCUCACGGUGAAAGAUGAAGGCAUUUGUGGUAGCAAUAUCCAGAAAGUGUAGCAACAAGGUUCUGUACCAACGAUUAGUGUUUCUGUGAGUGCAGUGGUACGAAACGAGCUGGUCUACUCCUCCCAUGUUUUUAUUGUAGGCCACAACUGGGGUGUUUCUCAAUGCCAAGGCACCUGGCCUUGUGAGGCAAUGUCUUGCGAGGCCAGGCGCCUUGCUUACGAGGACACUGUCCUUCCUUGGUCAAAGAAAAUGGUUAAAUGGAACAGACUUACAUCACGUGACUGCAGCUUCAGCUGCAGUCACGUAACGUCACAUGACACGGGAGAUUACGUUAUAUUUUAUACGUAUUAGUCUCAAUAUAAAUAUAAAACAAGACUUUUACUUUUUAAAUUGUGUAUAUAUUAAAUUAAAUAUAUAAGUGAGUUACUACCCGCUAGCCACCGAAGCUGCAACUACUAAGCAACUUACCAACCAUAGAUAACUUCUUUGGAUCUAAAAAAACAUUUUAAAUUAGCUGACUUACUUUUAAACUUGAAAAUUGUCCCCGAAGUAGCAGCCGGCUUCUGAUCCGCCGUCCUUUUGAAAAUACAGCGGUGUAUUGUGGGUCAUUUUUGAACAAGGCUAGGCUACAAGGCACCUCCGGUGUAUCCUUGCUCAGCUAGCUAAACGACUAACAAAUGGAGAACACAUGCCUUGGUAGAACAUGAACAUUAAAACAUGUCUUGGCAGUUCCUGAUGACGUAUCUCCUAGGUAACCGGGGCAGGGCCAAGACAUCAAGGCAAGAUUCCUUGACAUUGAGAAUCACCCCUGGUGUUGGGCGGGGAAUCACUCUCACAGCCCAGCUGCCAUCUUGGUCCUUCACCCUUCUUUUUACAGUCUCUCCAGAAAAUGCAGGAUGGAUGGUGGAGCACACAGACACCUCACACAUAUCCAUCCAUUUAACAAAAACGAGCGGGCCUCCUAUAAUCCAUCUCACAGAUCCUCUUUGGGUUUUCUGGUGAGAGCAUUCACUCUCCCUCGGGGACAUCCUUUUCUGUUCUCCCGUCGGUGCCACAUGCUCCAAACUUCAUUUCUGCCAGAUCUGACAACAGUUUGGGACCAGAAUAAAAGGUGUCCAUGUAAAUAUGACAUCCUGUGCCAAGAGUGGAUGUCUGAAUCAGGCUCAUGACUAUCAUCAGAGAGCCCAUGCAUGCUCACGGUGAGAUUCAGUUUUGUCUGUGCUGAAUCUGAUGGCGUAGCACCUGCUUGAUUCAGCCAAAACAAACAUUUUCAUCCCCCAUUUAUUUGACUUUUUCUUGAUGCAUUGUUUAAUGCAGAUUUUUGCCACCAUACUUUCAUCUACAGCCAGCUCCCACCUUGAGUGGAAAUCAGCCUGGUGGGUGUUAUCAUAGAGAGACCUGACUCUAAUCAGCUUGUCAAAUUCAGUUGUUCGUUUCUUUCUGUCAUUUUCUGAAUUUUUCUUAGUGAUCACUAAUGUGGAUGUUCCAAAAUGUUGAACAGAGCCAGGCUGUCUCUUGGCAUGAGUUUGUUUGGAAGAGGCACAGACAACAUAUUGUUUUGUUUUCAAUAGUCCUGAAUACUGGGCAGGGACAUUAGUGACAUGUAAAUCAAGAGGCCAAAAAAUAUGCACAAAUCUUCUACUUAAAUUUCAGUACAUUUGAACUAUUUGCUGCCUCUUUGUUGGUGUUUUGGUAGAUUGCUUUGAACAUUUCAGCGGCAAGAAACAGUAACAAAAAGAUCUUUGGGGCUAUGGGAGGAAGGUCACUGUUCUGCGUGGCAGGUUCCACUGUUUCCAGGAGUCCAUUAUAUACCCAGCUGGCUCAGUCCCAGAGGGGCAUCCAGGAGCCCCUUCUCCUGUUGUCAUCGUUGAAAAAAUUUUGUCAAUCGCAUUGAGACCAACUGACCAGGUCCAUUUUUAAUAAUUUCCAGUUUCCAGAAAAAAUGCAGAAGCGCUGUACACCCAAAGACAGACAAAGAGCCUUGGGAUAAGAUAGGGAGGAGAGGAGGAAAAAAGCAUCUGUAUUCUCCAAGAGCCGGAAGAAGAAAAAAACACCUCAGACAGAACAUUAAAUUAAAAAGCUAUAUUAAAAAAAUACCUCUGUAACGGUAUGAAAUGACCGUUUUCCACCAAAAGUCAUUUCCCCCUCUCCUCUGACACAGGACUAGUCUGCAUGAGAUAUGGCCUCAAGGUCUCAUGCAUUUGUUAUAAACUUCUUCUUUCCAGCUCAACAGAAGAAUGAAGAAUGCACUCUCUCCUUUUAGUAAAUCAAAGAACUCUAUUUUAGUAAAGCUAAUCAAACAAAGUGUUAGUCAAUAAAUAAGAAGUGACCAAUCUGUGAAAUCUAAAUAUUAAUUACUUUAUUAUAAUCCUAUAGAAUAUAAUAAGUAAUAUGACUUUAAAUGUUUCCACUAAGACUGAUCUCAUGUAGCAUUAAAAGACAUGACGCAUUGCAUUCACUGAUCCAAUCUGCCAGAUCCGACGGAGGCGUGGUUUUGGUGGUGUUCGGUAAAUCUGUCAACUUUUCAUUCGACCAUAAGCCAAAACAUCCGAAGUAUAAAACCAUGCCCACGUCAUCUUUAACGCCAGUUCAAAGCGUUCUAGAGAAGUUGACGGAGUGGCCAAUCCGUAACUUUCCUCUUCAGCCAAAAGAACCAACGACAAGCCGGAUAAAAUCUGUUGCUGUUCCAACUGCUGCAACGGUUCCUUUCAGAAUAAAAGCUGAACCAUCACGACCCAGGUUUGGGUCUCACUAGAUGCCAACAAAACUGUUGUGACCUGGAAGUAUCUCAAAGACUGGUCUGGUCGGCAACCGCUGCUUUUCCUACCGACUUCGGUUCCAGAGAAGGUCAAGCUGGACCUCGACACUCCUGAUCUAGACGGGGACUUCCGCUAAGGGUAUGUAGGCUGACGAAAUGGCGUCUAAUGUGUUUAUG